rnacentral:lncRNA from 1 species
UUCGUCCCUCAAAACCCUUCCCAAUUCCUUCUUUAGAUCCACUCUCUUAGACUUAAAUCCUGCGACAGCUCGCCCCCCUCUUCUGCUUUAUCAAUUCUUUGUAUUUCGUCUAUAAGGAGAUUCUUAGCUCUUCUAAUGAUGUAGAACUCAUUAUUACACCACUCCUUGAUCCUAAUACGACAAUGUCUCAGCUUGGCGGUGAACAAUAAAAUCGCCG